rnacentral:rRNA from 1 species
UGCUUAACACAUGCAAGUCGAACGGAAAGGCCUGCAGCUUGCUGCGGGUACUCGAGUGGCGAACGGGUGAGUAACACGUGGGUGAUCUGCCUUGYACUUCGGGAUAAGCUUGGGAAACUGGGUCUAAUACCGGAUAGGACAGCUGUUUAGUGUCAGUUGUGGAAAGUUUUUUCGGUGCAAGAUGAGCUCGCGGCCUAUCAGCUUGUUGGUGGGGUAAUGGCCUACCAAGGCGUCGACGGGUAGCCGGCCUGAGAGGGUGUACGGCCACAUUGGGACUGAGAUACGGCCCAGACUCCUACGGGAGGCAGCAGUGGGGAAUAUUGCACAAUGGGCGGAAGCCUGAUGCAGCGACGCCGCGUGGGGGAUGAAGGCCUUCGGGUUGUAAACUCCUUUCGACAGGGACGAAGCUUUUGUGACGGUACCUGUAUAAGAAGCACCGGCUAACUACGUGCCAGCAGCCGCGGUAAUACGUAGGGUGCGAGCGUUGUCCGGAAUUACUGGGCGUAAAGAGCUCGUAGGUGGUUUGUCGCGUCGUCUGUGAAAUUCCGGGGCUUAACUCCGGGCGUGCAGGCGAUACGGGCUGACUUGAGUGCUGUAGGGGAGACUGGAAUUCCUGGUGUAGCGGUGAAAUGCGCAGAUAUCAGGAGGAACACCGAUGGCGAAGGCAGGUCUCUGGGCAGUAACUGACGCUGAGGAGCGAAAGCAUGGGUAGCGAACAGGAUUAGAUACCCU